AUUUACCCUAAAUUUAUAUACAUGUAUUUAUGGCAAGAAGAGAAUGAUGCAUGCUUUUAAAUUUCUGUCGGGUAUCACAAAUUUAUAUAAUGUGAUAUAAUGUUAAAAAAAAUCCAAAAAUAUGUUGAAUUCAUAUGUAUAUACCUUGAUUUACACAUAUGCGUGGCUGUGGGAAUUAGUCCCCCAAAUUUUAAUUAGGGUUUAUAUAUACAAUUUGGGGUUUUGCUUUUGUGCUUGAGAAUUGUUGAAUUGGUGAAGUUUAUAGUGUUGGAUAUGGGUUAGAUUUGUGGAAGGAGAAGGGGGCGGCCGGAGCUCGUGUCGGCGACACCGACGGAGCUCACGGUGGCGGCAGAAAAGAGGGAAACCAGGGGAGAGGGAGAGAGAUAACAGGUGAGAGAAAGGAGGCAGGGGGGGUUGAUUGUGCGGGUUUAUGGCGGCAUGGAGGUCGGGAAUGGUGAAGGUUGAACAGGAAAGAGAAGCGCGAGAGAGAAGGAAGGAGGAGAGAGAGAGGGACUGGAGAGGGAGCCGCCGGAGUCGAACUCCGGCCGGAGAUGGUAGUGUAUGGCAGGGGGGAGAAGAGAGAUGAGGGAGAUGAAGGAGGGGCAUAUUGGUAAUUUGCUUAUAAAUAGUUCUGAUAAUUAGUCUGCUGGGCAAGAAGUUGUUGACGGAUUGAAAAACAAAUUACAUAUUUGGAUUCCUUACGAAAAAAUAGAUGGAAUAGACUUCAGAAUCAUUGAAAACGGAUUAGAAAUGAAGGAGAUAUUAGCGGUCAAAGUUUCACCAUUAGAGUUGACUUCGAGGUGAGAGAAAGUGUUGGUGGGUGUGUUGGAGAAGAUGAUGAUGUGUCAGUUGUUGAUUGGCUAGAAUAUUGAAGAAUAAUAUUUACUUAAUUUGAGGGACUAAAUGAUGGAAUUAGUAAAAGUGUAAAACAUGAAAGUCUAAGUAAAUAAUAUUUCGGAUUAGAUGGUGAAGCCUAAUUUUGGGUUUGAGAGAUAUUAGAUAAAUUUAUAAUUUAGGUGAUUUAAUAAAUAAUAAAUAAAAUUCGAAUUCAGAUUGGUUUAAUAUUAAAAAGGGUAUUUAUGGAUUGAAGAAAGUUAUGGGAAGAAUAAGGAUAUAAGAAUAAUUAAGAUGAUUAAUUAUUAUUCUAAUUUCUAAAUGAGCAAAGAUUAACAAAUAGAGAAUAAUAUAAGUUGUUAUAAUAAUCGAUGAAUAUUAGAAUGUUGUUUAUUAAAUGAGUAAGUAUAUGAUUAAAAAGAAAAAGAAUAUGAGAUAAGAGUUGGAAUAGAAAGAGACGUUGAUAAGAUGUGAAACUAUUGAUUUGGAAUAAAAUACUAAGUUAUUUAUUUUGUAUAUUAGAAGCAAUUUACUCGGGAAUCAAGCUGAGUAUCAAACCCGGAAUCAAGAAUUGUAUUUCAGAGGAGAUCAGUAUAGACAGAGAAUGGCACAAAUGAGAAGGAUAAUCCGGAAGCAUAUAACAGCAAAGUCAAAGGCAAAACGUGAGGCUGUGGCAAACGAAGGGUGCGAAGACUUGUUCCCGUAACGAGGAUGUUUGUGAUAAUUAUAGAAGUACUAGUUUGUACUCUUGAACUUAUCUUUUUAAUGAUAUGAUGGACUGUGUGGAAGUGUAAGAUCGACCCUGGACUUGUGGGGCGAGUUAUGUAACGUAAGACAGGUAUGCUAAAAUAGUGUGACGGCCUAGAUCCGGGAUAUACGGAUCUGGGGGCGUUACAGAUUUGGUAUCAGAGCUAUAGUUAUAUUCUUAGGACACGGGAACCCUAGGAAUACAACGAGAGAGUAAGAGACGAUAAUACGAGAUAUAAGAUAUGGGUAUAUGAUAGUUAUACAUCUACGAGUUUAUGCAAGGGUAUAUACGAGAUCCGGAAACCUUUAGUGGGACAUUAAACCCAUGGUUAUGAUACAUAUAUGUAUAUACAAGUAUCUUUAAGAUGAGAAAUUUAAGGUGACAUUGUUUGAUUAUCUGUGAAGAUAAUAGUAGCUAGCUCUGUUCGAGGACGCUCUUUUUACACCCUAUACUCAUAAUACUCAGAUUGUACUAUGGGAAGUGCCUCAUCAAAGGAAAUUAGGAUUACUGAUAGAAAUUCAGAGAACACGACUAUCAAAUCGUUGAGCCUCUACCAUUUGAGAUUAUUGGUUAGGUAACCUACUAGUUACCUAGUAUUUAUUGCUAUGCCAGGGGAUAAACACCAACUUUACUUUAUAAUUUUCGUUAGAAAUAACUUCUGCACUAUCAUUGACUACCCGAAUGUCUACCCCCAUAUUUCAUUCUUUCAUUACCCAUAUCAGAGGGUAGAUAUGAUCAAUGAUUAUCGAAUAGACUUAGACACUUUCAGCUGACUUUUCUAAAGGCUACUUCAUUCACUUUUGAUUCCGUUGCGUUGCCGACUCCUUAUCGGUAUCGAUUCAAGUUCCAUACCCUUAUGAACACCACAUCUAUUGACGAGAUUCUUUUCUCAUAUUUUGCAAGUUUCUGUUCAAUAUAUAUAUAUUCAAAUGCCAAGCCAUGAGCUCGAAUGUUAUAGCCAGAUUUUUCUACCCCAAAAGACUGUUGUUCCCAUCUCAUGUUAUAUUAAGAUACCGAUUUUUCUAUUACAAGGUUUCUUCUUUUCUACUUAAAAAAACUCUUUAAAUUUCAAUAUCAAUUUCAGUUCCAAUUUCCACAUCAAACUCAACACCAGAUUUUAUUCUAACACCACUCAGUUCCAAUUUUUUCUUAUGUUCCUCCAUAUGUUGGGAGCGAGGCAGUGCCACACUCGACACACUUUAUAUUUGUACAACUAGCAAAGUAUUACCUUGAGUUUUAAGUUUUCAUGACGAAUAUGGGGAUGCAAGAAUUAUAUAAUUUUGUAAUUGUUCAAGAGAUCCCGGAAUUCUGGCCUGGGAAAUUAUGAUAAAGGAAUCUAUCAAAUAGUUAUUUAUGUAUUCGAGAGACUUUGGAUAGAUAUUCAAUAGACUACUUCGACCAACUUCAGACAUAUAUGAGCCACUUUUAUGGAUCGAAAAUCAUUAAGAUCUUGGUGUAAAGUUACAGAGAUAUCCAGACACUAAUGAUUCGGAUUUCUUUGAUAUAAUUUGAUCUUUUAUAAGAUAACAUUUAUAAUUUACGAGGAUCUCGAGUUCUAUUUCUGUUCAUAGUUUAUGACUAUUGACAUUGCACAAUAGCGGGCAUGAGAGCCUUGCAUUUUCUUAUUAUAACGAUGCAGAUUCGGAUAUAAGAUCUUUUGAGCAGAUAGGGAUGUAGGUAGACAUCUUAUUAAUCAUGGUUGAAUUGAUAUCUCAGUGAUUAUCUGAACAACUGUGUCCUCGGGUAAUGAUAGAAUGGUAUUCAAACUACGGGUGCAUAUGAUGACGGCUAGUGGAAAUGGAUGGUAUUAUUUUGAGAUUAUUUACAUUACUUGAUAUACAUGAUCUUUUGUACUUAUCAAACCACUGUAUAAACCUUGAUCAUGAUAUCUUGUAGCACCUUUUUAUUGAAAACCUUUCACAUACCUAAUUCUUUCUGAAACCGCUUUUACUUUUAAAACCACCUAUCUUUUGCUAAUAAAUGUGAAACCUUGGGCAUGUUGAUAUACUCCUUUGAACAAUUACUAAACCUUAACUGUUUUUACCAUUUAAUAUCCAUUUCAUGAGCAAAACUCUUGUUAAAAUUCUCUUUUACAAUUUUGCACCAGUAUGCUAUCCUUUGCACUUCUACAUGUCAAAUAAACCUGUACACCAUGCGAUAGUAACCUAUUUUAUUCCUCCCUUGUUGAAACAAGAUGAACUCUGAAAUUGGUAAAACCAAGAAUAGAAACUCUACCAGAGAAUAUUCCAGCCAAUCCUGAUCAUAUAUAAAUGUUCUUUGAUCUCUUACAACAACGUGCUCCAAACCUACCAACCAAUACCAACAGCGCAUCAAUCAACCAACCACCGAAAUCAUUUAUUAUAUUCAAAAACUUUUAAGUGUGUACACCCCUUGAGUUUAAAGGAACCACGGAUCCUAUUGAGGCUAGGACCUGGUUAAAAGAAAUUUAAAAAGGGUUUUUGAGAUUGUGGGAGUUGAGGAUGAUAAGAAAAACUCUAUCUGCAAUACAUAUGUUAAACAUGGAAGCUAACUAUUGGUGGGAUGCUAAAAAGGUCUAGAAAGGACUAGUGUCAUGACGUGGGAAUGCUUUACGAAAUUAUUCAUAUAGAAACAUUCUCCUAAAUACAAUGAAAAUCACGUAACUCAGAUUCUUAGAACUCAAAUAAGGGAACAUAUAUGUGGCUGAUUAUGAAGCCAAAUUUACAUAACUUGCGAGGAUCAUACAACACUAUGCUAAUACUAAUGAAAAGAGAGCCCCAGCGUUUUUCAACCAGUAUUGAAACCCUGGAUCCUAAGCAGGGUGGCAAUUUUGAACUUAGCAGUUAUGCGACUCUUGUUCAGAAGACUGCUAUCGUAGAAAGAGAUAGUGAGCUAUACAACCGUGAAAAGAAUGGCAAGAAAGGGAGGGCACCACAGCCUAGGAAAGAAGAUAUGGGACUUAAAUAUAAAGAACCUUUUUGUUAAAAGGCUAUUCAACAAGGAUAGAAUACUUCGAAUCAGAAAUCUGAGAAUCAAAAAUCGAGAAAGCCGCGAAAGGAAUCAAAGGUUCAGGCCUCAAUAAACUGCAAAUCUUCUCCAAAGAAUACCCUCUUUUCGUGAAUGAAAGAAUUGUAGGAAGAAGCAGCCAACUCCGUGCUAUCAGGAGUCUACCAUUUGUUUUACCUACAAAUAUAAAGGAUGCUAUGUUUCAAAAUGCAAAAGGAAAGUUGAUACUCACUUCAACUAUGAAAAGACGGGCCACAUAGCCAGGGAUGGUCGAGCGCAACACAAAGAAAACACUAUUCUGAGAUUAUAAACUCUUCCGGAAAGGAGCAAGCCAACAUCGUACACCUUUAAUAUGACGCUGCAAGACGCCAUAGUCAACAAUGACAUUUCUAGGUACGCUUAUAAUAAAUUCUCAAGAUGCAUACUUGUGUGUUGAUUGAUUCGGACAUUAUCAAAUUGUGUAUUUUUUUUUUUUUUUUUUUGUAGAUUUCAUUCAAAAGCUCGGAAUUGAUACAAAACCUCUAGAAGAACCCUUAAUGUGAAAAUAGCGAAUAAAAAAAAUGAUUUUUUUUUAUGGACCAAGUGUGUCCUAGUUUUGAAGUAACGAUUUAGAAACAACUUUUCAAAGUAGAUUUAAUUCAUUUUAAGUUAGUGGGGUUUGACGUGAUAUUUGGAAUGGAAUGGUUAACGAGUUAUGUCGCUCAGGUUAAUUGUGGACGAAAGUGUCUAAGAGGUUAUAAUGAGAAAAGAAUGAAUGUAAGAGGAGAAAAGCACGAUAAGAAGUUUUGUUCAGGAUACAAGCUAAGAAAUUGCUUCGGCAAGGAUGUCGGGCCUAUUUGGUGCACGCGAUAGAUACAGAGAAAUAGAGUCCUGGGAUGGAAGAAAGCUCAGUGGUAAAUGAGUAUAUGGAUGUGUUUCUUGAAAAAGUUACGGGAUUACCCCAAAUUGGGAGAUUGAGUUCACUAUAGACCUUGUGCCAAGAACCGCACCUGUAUCAAAAGCUCCCUAGAAAAUGGUACCAACAUAAAUGAAAGAGUUAGCAAUACAAUUACAAGAAGUACUAGAAAAGGAAGUCACUAGACCGAGUGUAUCCACGUGGAGAGCCGCAGUGUUGUUUGUUGAGAAGAAAGAUGGGGGUACAAGGUUGUGUAUUUAAUUUAGAAAAUUGAAUAAGAUGACAAUUAAUAAUAAGUGCCCUUUACCAAGGAUUGAUGAUUUGUUUGACCAAUCGAAAGAAGCAGUUCACUUUUUAUAGAUUUAUUUAAGGUUGGAUAUCAUUGACUUAAAAAAAAUAUAUAUAAUAAGCCUAAAAGUGUCCCUAAGACGGCUUUAGAACCAUUUACGAACAUUGUGAGAUCUUAGUGAUGUCCUUAUGGAUUUUAUGAAUAGAAUAUAUGUAAGAAAUAUUUGGAUAAAUUCGUGAUAUUUCUAUGGAUGACAUUUUAAUUUAUCCUAAGACACAAAACGGGGGAUGUAGAGCAUUUAAGAACAACAUUGGAAAUCUUGAGAAAGAGAUGUUCAACGCAAAAUUCUCAAACAGUGAAUUCUGGUUGGAGCAAGGACAAUUUCUGGGACGCAUAGUUUCUAAAGACGCAUAUCAGUAGACCCUGUGAAGGUCGAAGCGGUAUAAAAAUUAGGAAAGAUCUAGAAGUCCGACUGAAGUCAGAAGUUUUCUUAGACUUGUAGGCUAAAAUAAAGAAUCGUUCAAGAUUUCUCAAAGGUUACACCACCAUAGACACGACUAAUCUAAAGAGAAGAGAAGUUUGAAUGGAUGCCAAAGCACAGAGAAAAUAUUCAAGAAUUAAAGAAAAGAUUCAUGAUAGCUCCUAUGUGACUUUACCAAAUGAAAGUGGCAAUUUAUAAACUUCAAUGAUGUUUCUCCUAAAGUAUAGGAUGUGUAUUAUGGUAGCACGAACAAGAAAUUGUUUACGCUUUAAGGAAACUAAAAUAUUAUAGACUGAGAUAUCUUAUUUAUGACUGGGGAUUAGUCACAAUUAUUUUCGCACUGAAGAUAUGUUGACAUUAAUUACAGGGCUAGAAGCGUGAAUUUUAUACGGAUCAUAAGUGCUUGAAGUAUUGGAUUACUCAGAAGGAACUAAAUAUAAGGCAAAUGAGAUGGUUAGAGUGGAUUAAGGACUAUAAUUGUAUAAUUAAAUAUCUUGCAAAGGAGGCAAAUAUAGUUGCAGAUGCGUUAAGUAGGAAGGAAAAGUUGAAUGUGUUAACAAUGUUUGAGGAAUUGAGAAAAGAAUUGAAGAAAUUUGCACUAGGACCUAAAGAUUCGAGUCUAGAGAAAGAAAAGCUUCUUGAAAUUUUGGUAUAAACAGAAUUGUUAAAUAAUAAUGAUAACAUUUUGGAGGUGUCGGGGAAAAGUAAUGGGAGAUUCAAAGGAACUAGUCGACAGGAGAAGAAUGCUUGUGUCUAAGGAUGAGGAAAUAAUUAAGAGAUUUGCGAAAAGGAUACAUAUUUUCACAGAAACAGAAUUCAAAAGUGAGAUUUUGAGCAAUGCACAUGACCCGAGAUAUUUCAUACACCUAGGAAGCACAAAGGUGUUUCAAGACUUUAAGAGACACUAGCAGUGGCCAAAUGUUAAAAGAGACAUUGCAGAUUGAGUGAGUAUAUGUUUAAAAUGUCAAAAGAUAAAAAUAGAACAACAGUGGAUUAUUACAACCCUUGGAUUGCCCGGGGUGGAAGAGGGAACAUAUUACUAUGGAUUUUAUUGAAAGAUUACCACAAACUCGAACAAACCAUGAUGUUAUUGGGUUUCAUAGAUUUACUCAUGAAAUCGGCUCAUUUUUACCAAUUCGUAAAAUGUACACAAUUGAGAAAUUAGUGAGUAUGUACCUAAAAGAGAUGUGACUCGACCUGGAGUCCCAGUACGAAUAGUAUCAGAUAUAGAUGCAAGCUUCAAUUCGAGAUUUUACCAAACUUUUCAAGAAUUGUCUGAGGACUAAGUUGAUUCUCAAUACUGCUUAUUAUCCACAAAUUGAUGGACAGAGUGAAAGAACGAUUUGAACAAUUGAGGGGACAUUAAAGUUGGUGUGUUAGAUGUCAAGGGAAGUUGGGAUUAUCAUUUGCCCUUAAGUGGAAUUUGUUUAUAAAACCAGUUAUUAUUCUAGUAUUAGAAUGGCACCUUACGAAGCAAUAUAUGCUAGAAAAAGUAGAUCGCCCUCUCUGUUGGGAUGAAGUUGGGGAAAAACGAAUAUUAGGACCUGAACUGAUUGAGCAAAUAAAACAGUCAUUGAUAUAAUCAAAAGAGGUUAGCGGCUGCUCAAUAUAGACAAAAGAAGUAUGCUGAUUUAGGAAGGAAAGUCGAGACUUUUGAAGUGGGAGGGAAAAAAAAAAUACUUUUUAAAGUGUCGCCAUGGAAAGAGUAAAUAGAUUUGGGAGGAAAAAUAACUAAAUCCAUGAUAUACAGGACCAUUUGAGAUAUUAAGGAAAGUUGGAGUUGUUAAAAGCUUACAAAACUGGUAAUCGUCACAUUAUGAAUUACGAGCCAAUGAAUAGUCGGUCAAACUUGACAUACGAGGAAAAGCUAGUAGAGAUUGUAGAUUCAAAAUUUCAGGAGCUAAGGAUCAAGAGAGUUAAACUAGUUAAAGUGAUAUGGCACAAUCAAGUUGUAGAUGAAGCAACAUGAGAAUCAGAAGAUGAAAUGAGGAAAAAUCAUCCUAAAUUGUUCAGCGCUAGUCGUGAUUCCGAGGUCGGAAUCCUUUAAGGGGGAGAGACUGUAACGACCGCAAAAUUCCAAGUUCAUAUUUGCGCGAAUCUUUAAUUCCUUUUAUUUAUUUUGCGAUCAUAUUAUUUAAUUGUUUUAUAAAUCAUCAAUUUCAGAUUAAAAAAAAAAAAAAAACAGGAAAUAUUAGUUGAGAUUUGGUUAGUAUCAUAAUUUUCGAGGAUGCGAAAUUAUUUGCUAAUAUUCUAUUAAUACUCGUUGUUAUUAGAUUUCGUUUAACGCGAGUAUUAUUUCGAUGCGGUUUUUAAUAAAUAGAUACCUCGCGAAUAAUGAUAUUGCUUAAUAGUCAGAUUUAAUAUAUUUAACGAUGCGAGAUGAGAUCGAAGAAUAUUUAUUUAGCAAUUAUUUAAAAUUUCGAAAAUUCCCAAAGAUUAAAUUAGAACUGUGAGAUUAGCAUUUAACGAGCUAUUAUUUGAUUAAGAGGUUUCUUGGAGCCCAAGCAUUGUAACUUGGCGGCCAAGUAACGAGACUUGGCGCCCAAGUAAUGUUAGGACUAAUCUAGUUAUUGAUUGGGUGUUAGAAUAAUAAUUAGAAGUAAUGGCAAUUAGUGAAAGUGCUAUAAAAUGUAAAAUAUGAGAUUUGUUAAAAGAUUUUGCUUAGCAAAAAGAGAGAAAACUUAGAGAUUUGGGAACUAGAGAAAAGAGGAGAAUGGAAGGAAAUUGGCAAGAAGAAGAUUUGGGGAAGAUUAAAGAGGAGAAGAUUAAAGCAUUUUCUCUACCAUUUUUUUAAAGAAGAAGCAAUUUACUCGGGAAUCAAGCUGAGUAUCAAACCCGGAAUCAAGAAUUGUAUUUCAGAGGAGAUCAGUAUAGACAGAGAAUGGCACAAAUGAGAAGGAUAAUCCGGAAGCAUAUAACAGCAAAGUCAAAGGCAAAACGUGAGGCUGUGGCAAACGAAGGGUGCGAAGACUUGUUCCCGUAACGAGGAUGUUUGUGAUAAUUAUAGAAGUACUAGUUUGUACUCUUGAACUUAUCUUUUUAAUGAUAUGAUGGACUGUGUGGAAGUGUAAGAUCGACCCUGGACUUGUGGGGCGAGUUAUGUAACGUAAGACAGGUAUGCUAAAAUAGUGUGACGGCCUAGAUCCGGGAUAUACGGAUCUGGGGGCGUUACAUUUAGAGUUCUUGAAGCAGAUCUCUAUGCUAAACACUGGGAGGAAUUGAGAUAUGUCUCACACAUAUUUCUUGUAAAGAACAAGUCAUGCCAACACAUCUCCAACCUGCUCAAGGAUCAAAUCAGAAGAAAGAUGGGUAUUACAGGAAACAAAAAUGCUGGACCUUUCAUUCCUAAAUACUUCAAUCAUAAGGGACAGCUGGUUGAGAUGAAGAAAAAUUCAGCAAAGAUUGAAACAAUAGGUGGAAUCAGAACUCUUGCAUUUAAUGAAGAGUCUGAUAAAGCUUACAAUAUCAGGCUGGAUAGAGACUUGAGAAGAAAUAAGAUAUAUGAUCUCAGAGCUGCAAUUUACCAAACUGGAGUUUCAGAUCCAGAGCUGAGAGAGAUCAAGAGACAAAUGAUUACAGUACUUGAAGAAGCUGAAAGAGAACUCCUCAGAGGGUAUCUACAGACAGCAAAUGGUGUCUAUGAAGCUAAGGAGUAAAGUAUCUGUAAGUUUUAAAAGUUUUCUGUUUUAUAGUUAAACUCUGUUGCAUUUGACUUAAAUGUUUUGACAUCAUCAAUUAUCUGUUAACUUGCACAUAAUGUAUUUAUGCACAAGUUGGGGGAGAUUGUUAGAUAUAAUUGAUGAUUACUAAUGUUCUUAAAGUUUGUUUUAGAACAGGAAUCAUCAGAGUUUAAUCUGGAAGCUGAUCAGAGUUUAGUAAAGUCUGACAGAGUUUGAUAAAGUCUGACAGAGUUUGAUAAAGUCUGAACAGAGUUUACAUAGUCAAGAUUCGUCAGAGUUUACACGUGGAAAGAACUCAGAAGCGGAUAUACUUCAAGGAAGGAUAGAAGCGGAGGAGUGAUUUACUGGCUAUGGAAACUAAACAGAAAACUGGAGCAAUCUUUGAUUGAUAGAAUUUAUAGCAGAUUUAUAGGAUAUCAAAUCAGAGAUUGAUUUUGUAACUGUGUCUAUAUAAACACAGAUUAGGGUUACUCUAUAUGAGUUGAGUUAUCGAGUACAUUGUUAGGAACUCUAGCAGCUCUUAGUGAUACAAUAUAAAUCACUGAGAGAGUUUUU